CCCCGCACGGAACGUUCCCACGCCCAACGAACAGAGCACGGCCGGGGCCUCCACCGCCGCUCCACGCCCCCAUCCUCCUCCUCCGCCGCCGCCGCUCCCAGCCUCCAUCCUCCGCCGCUCCACGCCCCCCCACUCUUCGCCCGCUCCUCUUGUGCUGCCCCACGGACGCCAGCUCGGGCCGCCGCCGCCAACCGCUGGCACCCCACCGCCGCCCGCCGAUCCUAAACUCGGGCGUCGCUCCAAUCGCCUGCCGUCGCCGCUCCACUCGGCCUCCACCACCGAUCCUCCACUCGCCCACAGUUGCCGUUCAACUUGAUCUCCUCCGCCGAUCCUCCACUUCACGGCCGGCCACUUAUACGGAAUCUGCACUUUCCCAUAAUACCACGAUGGACUCCUCAAGUGGCAAGAAAAUUACUACGCAAUAGCUUGUGAACUUUUCAAGGAUGUUUUGAAUGAUCCACUAAUAUCCGAAAUUCAGAUGAAGAAUCAUCACCCACCUGCAUCCCCGUUAGGAUCAGGGGAAUGUUCCCUGUUUGAAGAUCUGGCGAAUACGCCUACUCAUGUUAAUGCAAAUCAAGCGGGAGUUGGCCUGCGGUUCUGUUGGUCUUCCCCAUCUCAGGGGUUGGGACUUGAGAGGCCGCGUAUAUGAGAUCCGAGAGGCACAUGGUUGUUUAUUCAUCGACUACGGUGCCGCUGCAUGGGGAGAACGGCUAUGGCUGACGCCUCCAUCUCUCUAAACGAUGCUGACACCAUAUUAUAAAUGACGCUGCCGACGACUCCUCUCAGACCGACCCUGGACGGUACAAUCUGGUUAUGCAAAUCUUCGUGUCUUACUACUGAGGAAUAUCCGUCUAUGAAGGCAAAUCAUGUUUACUUACUGAUGAUAGUGUGUUUUGGACAAUUGGGUUCGAGAAUAAUUGUGGUGAUUUGGAAAUUCUUAACUUGGAUAAUAACACAAGGAACGAACUUGUGUCUCCUCAACUUUCUGUUACGGACCUAAAUCAAGCAGAGGCCAGAAUCACCUUCUAAGGUCUCUCGUUCGCUUCAUAGCAUCGGAAGAAGGAUAUAAAUUCAGGUUACACCCUUGGGUACAUGAAGGAGGAAGUGGGUGAGAUAUAGAUGGAAGCAGGAUUGGGACGAGAGAUAGAGGUAAUCCAGCAAAAGGGCGAGGACCAAAGAGGUAGGUGAUUCAAAUUCAGGUCACCGUCGUUUCCUUUGAUGCUUCGCCUUGAAGUCUUUCCUCUGGUUAAGUAGCCUACCGAGUCGAAGGAGGCCACAGAAGCUUGUAUCUUCUGGGUUGGACUUUGUCUUCUUCAGGUUGGUCCACUGGCCCAUUUGUUCGCUGUUUUAGGCACUUCUUCUCUUCGCCAGUUAACUUAACAGCAGGCACUUCUUCUCUUCAUCAGUUAACUUAGUAUUCUUCAAGUGUUGUUUUCUUCGUCAGUUAACUCCUUCAGGUUUGCAUUCUUGUCCUCGGUGCACACAAACUUCUAUCGCAGGUUAAGACUUUUGUCCGACUGCCCAUCUCCCAUGUGGAUUACACAUGAUCCUAGAAAGCUGAACAUGGCUUUGACUAAAUAGUUUUGUGUUUUCUUGGUUUAUCAAUGUUAUAAUCAUGAAGUUUGGUAAAUGGUGGUCAGUUAAUAUAUCACUUGGGUUUGGAUAAUACACUUAAUCAUACAUUCUGUAUAAAUGCAAUGCCUAUUUUUUUAAUUCUAAAGUGUAUUAACAACCUGAGAAUGCUAUGAUGGGGCUAAUCUGAAUAUGGCAAUCCAUGAUAUGUUCUGAUGCACACUUUUACUGAUAUUAGGAAUAGAAAGAAUACUUUGAUGUAGCAUAUCUGCACUGUUCAUGUAUAACUAAAAGUGACUAAACUCUUUUUCUUUCACUCGCCAACUUAAUUCAGUGUAUUCACAUUUCAUCUGAGCCGAUUCAGAGAUUAGCCGAUGGUUUCUUCUGCAAUUUCUACAUCAGAUCAUCUAAAAGAAUCUAAAACUUUCUUGUCCAAGUUAUAAUCUUCGUUGUUCAGAAUUUGAUUAUACAUUUCAUCAGUCGCCACAUCUAUACAUUUCAUAGGCUGGGUGUUUUGUGUUUUGGCCCAACCAACAUAUACCAUAAAAGGAGUACUUUUUUGUUUUGGAUUAUUGUAGAGUUAUGAAGGUAUGCUAGAAUGGAUGAACAUAAAGAUCAAAUAGUGAUAAUUAAUUGCAAUGAAAAUAAUAGCUUCAAGACAACAUUAGAUAGUCAUGUUUGCAAAGCAUAAUAUGGUUCUUUCUGCAUAGGGCACACUUGCAUGUAUGAGAGCUCAGGCAAGAGGCAGGUUAAUUCAACUAAAGACACAAAUUUCAUGAGAAAAACACCAAAAACAUUGUGUGCAAAGAUGUCUUGAAGGGGUGAAUAAAAGUUUGUUCUUCCUUCAUGCCAAUCCAUCUUAUGAUGUUAUAUUUUUAUUGUGGAUAUAUUGCCAUGCCAGGGUUGGUGGCGAUGGCUGGUGCUUGUAAUUUUGCAGCCCUUGCCAGUGUCGUGGUGGGAGGACUGCCAUGAAAGGUACUGGAGCAAGAUUUCUUAUAUCUGGGUGAGGGCAUCAAUCAAUGUUGGGACAAGGAAUCUCAUCACUGCAACAAUAUAUAGCUACCACAUUGGACCAGGCGCGUUUAUCUUGAGCAUAGCUAGACGGAAAAACAUAUUUCCUGAGCUGGCAUGUGAAGGAAGCAAACAAAAGGACUGCACUCACACGGAACCAUGAAGCCAACGAUCUAUGUCAACCAGAUGUUUUAGAUUUCAUUUUGCACAAUUGAUGUCUCAUACUUGCAUCUUUUACCUUCUGUGAACCUGAUGCAUGGUGUCAUGGUGGUUAUGUUUAGAAGACUGAAGUGUAUGUAUGUGACAAAUAGUUAAUGGAAUAAAAAAAUGUUUGGUGCACCUGAUGUGAGCCUGA